AGAGGGUGCGAGCGUUGUCCGGAAUCACUGGGCGUAAAGGGCGCGUAGGCGGCUCAGUAAGGUUGCGGUGAAAGCCCGGGGCUCAACCCCGGGUCGGCCGUGGCAACUGCUGGGCUGGAGCACUGUAGAGGCAGGUGGAAUUCCGGGUGUAGCGGUGGAAUGCGUAGAGAUCCGGAAGAACACCGGUGGCGAAGGCGGCCUGCUGGGCAGUAGCUGACGCUGAUGCGCGACAGCGUGGGGAGCAAACAGGAUUAGAUACCCUGGUAGUCCACGCCGUAAACGAUGGGCACUAGAUGCUUGGGGGAGCGACCCUCCGAGUGUCGGCGCUAACGCAUUAAGUGCCCCGCCUGGGGAGUACGGCCGCAAGGCUG
rnacentral:rRNA from 1 species